UGUUGCUGAAUGCCUUGCCAAACCAGCCUGACUCUCUUCAUUGACUGUUGCUCUGCAAAAGUGGUGUAAAUGAAAUGUGAAAAGUUGCACGUUGUAAUUUAAUUGGUUAAACAAACAACAAACCUUUGGGAAGAAAGGAGAGAGCAAGAGGGCUGUGAGGCAGCACUGCCGGUCUGCCUCUCUCUUCUUUGCGUCUAAUUCAGCAGAAAAACUAUUCCUUGAGCAUGGAAGUUAACUUUGUACUUAAAUUCAGUCUGAUCAAGAGACAGAUGAUAGUCCUUCUUCACCACAAACAUGUAGGCGUGGUGGCGUGGUGAAGGGAGACAGCGUAGGAAGUUAUCGACAGGAUUUCAGCCUGACUCAGCUGAAGAGUUGCCCACAGAAAGCUGCUCCCAGCGGCACUGCUGCUACAAAAUCUGUUCUGAGGGGAUGAUGCACAGCAUUUUUGCCCAACCAAUGUGUGAAGACUCAUGGUUCUCCAAGUCACUGUUAGAUUAUUAGGUAUUUAAGACUUUCUAAAUGUUAAGAACCACGAGUAUGUAAUAAUAACUGUUCUUGCACCUGAAUAUGUAAAAAUAUUUCUCCCAUUAAGCAGUCAUUACUAAAUAAGAUUAUAUGGAAAAAAAUAUAAAGUAUCAUUCAAAACUAAUGAGAUACUGUGGGCUAGCUGAGGAUAUAUCCUGUAGUUUAUUUAUAGUAAAUGGUGAGUCUAAUUUUAUGCAAGGUCAGAAAAUGUAACGUUAUAUAACUGUUAGGCUGAGUAUUGAAGAGAGAGGUUGGGUUCUGUAGCACAUAUCCAUGUCCCAAGUGCUUUUUGUUAAGGGUAAAUAUAACAAGAAUUAGGGACACGUUAAUACAGUGUGGGUAAAAGUAUGUUACAGGUAUGAAUCUGGUGUGAAGACAUUUUUACCUGUGAUGAGAUUGCAUUUGUAAUUAAUGCCUUGACCUAUUUUUUGCAUGGAAAACUUCCAGAGUAAAAUCAAAUAGUUGCAUUUCUCUAUGCUGGCUGCCUGGGUAUAUCUCCUUCCUCAGGAGAGAAAUGAGACUAACUAGUAGCUCAAAUGUCACAACUACCUCAGUAUUCUUGAGCAGGCUUUCUGGUGAGUAGAAAGGUAGGGAAAAGAAUAUAAUUAAUCAUUUUCAAAAAGUGACCUUUUCUUGGACUGUAAGGGGAUGGCAAAUUCUGGUAAGGUCAUCUCAGUUGUUUUCCAAUUGUUUUUUGUUAUUGUUUUGAUAAAAAUUUAAGGUUUGGGUUAUCUUUUAUGUACAGUGUUUCUGAGGGCCUGGUGUUACACUUAGCAGUCAAAGAAACUGCGCUGAUACAACGCAAGGGCACACCAAAUCAUCAGUUCUACUUCAGGAGCUGAUUUCGCUUAAAUGCUGAUCAGCCAGUCCAGUUUAUGUUUGGUGGCAAAGAGUUUUAUAUGUCACCUGUCUGUUAAGCAUUUAGUAUCUGUAAGCUGCUCAGGUAUUCUCUCAUCUUGUGGCUACAUGUGGGGGAAAAAAAAAAAAGCUGGAAGAGGAAGUGUUUAUGUAGCGUGAAAAGAAACAACCUAAGUAGGAGCAAGUGUGGCUAUGAAAGAGGAUGCUGAAUUCUUGCAUGCCAUACAAACACCUACAUCAUUUAAUCUGUUUAUAAAUACUCUCCAUGUAAAGAUCUAAGAGUACUUUACAGUACCAGUCAGUUUUUACGGGAUCCUAUUUAGGAAAGUGACGUCUUACCAAAGCCACAUACAGUGGGUUUUGUAGAGUGUUGUUAAUCACAGUACAGCCAGCAGCAAUGCCAAAAAUAAAUGCUGCUUGGGUGAAAGCAUAGCAAGGCGCACAACGUCUGUACUGAAGGGAGUGCUGUGGAGAACUAACUGCACCAGUGCCCAUCUGUCCAUGCUUGUCUGUCAGUUUGAAUUGUAUCACAGCGUGCAAAUCUUUUGGUUUGUAGUUUUUCUUUGGAUGUUGUGACACCACAGCUACAGUUCUGCAUUGUCAUGGAGGUUGAGGUUCGAGCCCACGGAGCUGUCCUCCAACGCAACGGUGCCCACGCACAGAUGCUGGCAGAAAGGUUUAACCCAUGGAGCAGCAUCCCCCAAAGGAAGGGCAGUGGUAAGCCUACAUUAAAUCAUGCUGGGAAAUCUGUUUCCAGGAGAUUUGUCAUCACUAAUCUAAUAAUUCUAGACGGUGAAAGUAGCCUCAUUGUAUGUAGUAUUGUUUAUGUAACAAAAGACACACCAUUUCUCUCAUCUGAAAGAUGUGGCCUCUCCUCUUAGUUAAUGGGUUUAAAUGCAAGCAUGCUGUCUCAGCAAAUCUCUCCCUGGAAUACUGCUUUUGCAUUUCUCACUAAUGAAUGCUUUGCAGCUAACACAGCCAUCUGUCCAUUCAAAAUAUUGCCAGUAAAAUCAGGGUAAUUAGAAAUAAGUGGAAGCUCGGAUAUAUUGUAUGCUUCAACCAGCAGUGGUCAUUUAAUAUGGCAUUAUUGAAAUAUGUACGCUUGAAGCACAGCUCAAGUAGCCUUCACAUCCACAUCUGUGAGCAGCACUCUCCAAUCUGAAGGUGAGUCUGUGAGCUGACAAAGCCACUGGCAGAACAUAUGCCCCCUGAUCUCUGUGCUCCCUCCUUGUCAUUAACGCAGCUCUCGUGGGAGGGCAGUGAGGAGGUACCCAGAGCUGUGCAACACGUUCCCUUUUCAUCCAGUCAACAGAAGCUGCUUGUGUAAAGGUGAGCGGGGGAUGAGGUCAACCAGAAGCCAUACAGAAGCGAGUUGAACGCCACAUCUUGCAGCCUCUCACCGAUGUAACGCUUACAGAAAGACCUGUGGAUACCUGUAACAUAGCUCAAAGGUACUUAUGGAGUUCUGGUAAGUAAUUGCACCUGUUUCUGUGCCAAGAAGUUAUGAAAGUGAUGUGGGCUUAACCCUCUCAAGGGAAACAUUGUCUGAGUUUAACUUAGUUUUCACUCAGACAUGCAAUGUUAGUAAACGUUUUCUGAAAUGGCAAAGUUAACAUAGCUCUCUGACCUGCAGUAUGAGAAUAACACCAGGAAGGUGAGUACCUUGCAAGCAUAUCCAGCAAAACUGCUCAUUACAGGAUUAGUGCUGGAUCAGACUGAGUAUGGUCUGUGGCCACAUACUAAGCAAGAGACGUACAAAUGCAUGUUGAAUAAACAGUGCUAGCUGAGCUUAAUAACCUGUAGAAGAAAUAUUAUCCUGUCAAGCAGUUAUUAUAAGAUAUAUAUGAGAUCAAUCUAAAUCAAGAGGGAACAGGCAAUUUUAAUUUAAGAAUUUUCGUAGAGUUUUUUCCUCUUUAUAGCCUUUCAAGUUUUGUUAAUGUGGUUUGAUUGAGUAAAUAAGCACUGAGUUUGGUUUUUUGUUGUUGUUGUUGUUGUUAGUGCAGUGGAAUAUGAAUGACAGGCUGAGCUGCAGCAUUUUGCUGCAAUUUCUCA
ensembl:lncRNA